rnacentral:rRNA from 1 species
AUUGAACGCUGGCGGCAGGCCUAACACAUGCAAGUCGAGCGGAUGAAGGGAGCUUGCUCCUGGAUUCAGCGGCGGACGGGUGAGUAAUGCCUAGGAAUCUGCCUGGUAGUGGGGGAUAACGUCCGGAAACGGGCGCUAAUACCGCAUACGUCCUGAGGGAGAAAGUGGGGGAUCUUCGGACCUCACGCUAUCAGAUGAGCCUAGGUCGGAUUAGCUAGUUGGUGGGGUAAAGGCCUACCAAGGCGACGAUCCGUAACUGGUCUGAGAGGAUGAUCAGUCACACUGGAACUGAGACACGGUCCAGACUCCUACGGGAGGCAGCAGUGGGGAAUAUUGGACUAUGGGCGAAAGCCUGAUCCAGCCAUGCCGCGUGUGUGAAGAAGGUCUUCGGAUUGUAAAGCACUUUAAGUUGGGAGGAAAGGCAGUAAGUUAAUACCUUGCUGUUUUGACGUUACCAACAGAAUAAGCACCGGCUAACUUCGUG